UACAUGGGGUGCAAACGUUGCUCGGAAUUAUUGGGCGUAAAGCGCACGUAGGCGGUUCGUUAAGUCGGAUGUGAAAGCCCUCGGCUCAACUGAGGAAGUGCACCCGAAACUGGCGAGCUUGAGUACGAAAGAGGAUCGCGGAAUUCCCGGUGUAGAGGUGAAAUUCGUAGAUAUUGGGAGGAACACCAGUGGCGAAGGCGGCUCACUGGACCGGUACUGACGCUGAGACGCGAAAGCGUGGGGAGCAAACAGG
rnacentral:rRNA from 1 species